CUGUUGGCAUAGCAUGAACAGCUCAGUGGGCCUAUAAAGACAAAUGUACAUCAGCCAUUGCCCUGCCUCUCUGGAAAGGCCAUAAGAGUGACAAGAUGGACCUCUGGGAGAAAAGCUUGAAAGGAAAGGACGGGCAUGCCAAGCCAGAAC